rnacentral:rRNA from 1 species
UACGUAGGGGGCAAGCGUUGUCCGGAAUUAUUGGGCGUAAAGAGCGCGUAGGCGGUCCGGUAAGUCGGUUGUGAAAGUCGGGGGCUCAACCCUCGGAUGCCGAUCGAUACUGUCGGACUAGAGUCCGGAAGAGGCGAGUGGAAUUCCCGGUGUAGCGGUGAGAUGCGCAGAUAUCGGGAGGAACACCAAUGGCGAAGGCAGCUCGCUGGGACGGUACUGACGCUGAGGCGCGAAAGCGUGGGGAGCGAACAGG